CGAACGGCAGCACGGGUGCUUGCACCUGGUGGCGAGUGGCGAACGGGUGAGUAAUACAUCGGAACAUGUCCUGUAGUGGGGGAUAGCCCGGCGAAAGCCGGAUUAAUACCGCAUACGAUCUGAGGAUGAAAGCGGGGGACCUUCGGGCCUCGCGCUAUAGGGUUGGCCGAUGGCUGAUUAGCUAGUUGGUGGGGUAAAGGCCUACCAAGGCGACGAUCAGUAGCUGGUCUGAGAGGACGACCAGCCACACUGGGACUGAGACACGGCCCAGACUCCUACGGGAGGCAGCAGUGGGGAAUUUUGGACAAUGGGCGAAAGCCUGAUCCAGCAAUGCCGCGUGUGUGAAGAAGGCCUUCGGGUUGUAAAGCACUUUUGUCCGGAAAGAAAUCCCUGGCUCUAAUACAGUCGGGGGAUGACGGUACCGGAAGAAUAAGCACCGGCUAACUACGUGCCAGCAGCCGCGGUAAUACGUAGGGUGCGAGCGUUAAUCGGAAUUACUGGGCGUAAAGCGUGCGCAGGCGGUCUGUUAAGACAGAUGUGAAAUCCCCGGGCUCAACCUGGGAACUGCAUUUGUGACUGGCAGGCUAGAGUAUGGCAGAGGGGGGUAGAAUUCCACGUGUAGCAGUGAAAUGCGUAGAGAUGUGGAGGAAUACCGAUGGCGAAGGCAGCCCCCUGGGCCAAUACUGACGCUCAUGCACGAAAGCGUGGGGAGCAAACAGGGAUUAGAUACCCUGGUAGUCCACGCCCUAAACGAUGUCAACUAGUUGUUGGGGGAUUCAUUUCCUUAGUAACGUAGCUAACGCGUGAAGUUGACCCGCCUGGGGAGUACGGUCGCAAGAUUAAAACUCAAAGGAAUUGACGGGGACCCCGCACAAGCGGUGGAUGAUGUGGA
rnacentral:rRNA from 1 species